UGUUGAAGAUAUGAAUAGGGAUAUUCUGGUCCUUGUUUAUAACUGAUCAAGUCCUGAGCACUUUUACACCUGGGAAAAUAUGUGAGUAUAGACGAAUUUAUUACCUCAUUUUCAUUAUAUGUGGCAGAGUUUGCUAGUGUAAUUUUCUUUUGCAGAACGCAUGUAAGGAAUACAUCCUCGGACGUCUAAAUUGUGAUGCAUUAUAUUCUUCCCAGCUAUUUCCGUUCUUUUCUUCAUUUUGUGGGCUGCAAGAAUCAGCCCAUCGAUGCAUUUGGAGUUGAGGCUGUUGUAUCUUUGAUCAAGAUGUUUCAAUAGGAGCUGCUGUACGAUGUUUGGCCUCAUGUGCAACAGUAAAUGUUAUUAUAACGCAUGAAAGUUCAAAUUCUCCUAUCUUUAUACGUACCUCGGUGGCUGCAACAAGAAAAAGAAGUGCAGGUGGAUGAAUUUGCAAUUAGAUGCGGCUGUAGUUGCAGUUAGCUCUACAUGUGUAGAUAAUUUUGCUCCGUCGAAGCUCACACUUUCAUCCCUCCCAAAUCGACAAUGCCUUGAUUGUUGUUCAAUAGCCCGGCUCAACUGCUGUACUAGUUUUGGUGAUGCUAAGCUUCGAUAACACUCUGUCACAGACUCGCCAACUUUGGCGGCAAAAGCUAACUCAUGAUGUGAAAAGUUGUGAACUGUCCAGAUAUCUCUCUCCAAUGUAGGCUACUCGGGUUGAAGCCAUAUGUUUUCUUUCGUUUUCGCUAUGGCAUCUUUUUUCAUAUUUCCUGUUCAAAGAUAAUCCAAGAUUUUAAGUCUGUGAAUGUAAAAUACCGCCACAAUGCUACAUCUUUGAUGUGUGCUAAUGAGUUCAAGUGAUUGUAUAACCUGCAAGUGACAUGCUUGAAUAUAGGCGUGUACAGUGACGAAAAAGUUGUGAUGAAUGCAACACAAUGCCAUUCUCCUAAUAUCUUUCACCAAUUAACUCCCAAAUACUGUAACU